UGGGGAAUUUUGCGCAAUGGGGGAAACCCUGACGCAGCAACGCCGCGUGAGUGAUGAAGGCCUUCGGGUCGUAAAGCUCUGUCAGAGGGGUAGAAAUGCAGGGGUGCUAAUAUCAUCUUUGCUUGACGGUACCCUCAAAGGAAGCACCGGCUAACUCCGUGCCAGCAGCCGCGGUAAUACGGAGGGUGCGAGCGUUGUUCGGAAUUAUUGGGCGUAAAGCGCGUGUAGGCGGUUUGAUAAGUCUGAUGUGAAAGCCCCGGGCUCAACCUGGGAAGUGCAUCGGGAACUGUCAGACUUGAAUACGGGAGAGGGUAGUGGAAUUCCUAGUGUAGGAGUGAAAUCCGUAGAUAUUAGGAGGAACACCGGUGGCGAAGGCGGCUACCUGGACCGAUAUUGACGCUGAGACGCGAAAGCGUGGGGAGCAAACAG
rnacentral:rRNA from 1 species